UUCUUCUGUCUUCUCUGCCGCCGGCGAUGCCGGUGGUGGGCGGAGGCUCGCCGGUCCACCGCCAGCUGACACUAAAACUAAACGGUCGACCCGACCGGACCGCACCGGACUAGACCAGACCGACUCCCAGGUCGAGCCGCACCUCACACCUAGCCUAGCCGCAUUCCGGCGCCGCCGCCGGCGAACUCCGCCUCUCCGGCGCCCUCCUCCCGGCCAAGACGCCGCGCUCGCCACCUCGCUCUCUUCCUCGUCCUCGUCCUCGUCCACGCACACGCCCAUCUCCCCACCGCUUCCUCUAGCUUCUCCUCUUUUUCAGCCGCCGCGUGCUCCAGGCCGACCUCAACCUCCAGCCGUCGACAACGCACACGGUCUCCUCAGGCACGUGCAGGCGAGCUCACGGUAGGGCUGCCGGAGCACCCGGCUACGGUCCCCAUCUCGGAGCUGCUCACUUGAACUCCAUCUGUGUGGCGCCUGCGACGUGUUCGACGGAAUGUUCAAGCCAGCAGAUUGCAGAGCACUGUACUGAGAGGCACAACUUGGUACAGAUGGGUCAGAACUGGAAGCUGCUUCUCAAGAUUUCAGCAAUGUAAUUGGUACACUACCUCGAUGUACAUUGUAUAAAGGAGCCCUCUGCAUGUGGAGCGGAGAUAACUCUUGCGUCUAAAACAUUCCUGUGCAUGGUCUCGUAUAGCUGAAGCACAAUUGAAGAAUAAGGUCUCAUGCGAAAUCCACUUCUCCGGCGCCGUCCUCCCGGCCAAAGACGCCGCGACCGCCGGGGCUUUCCCGCCACCUGCCCAGGCGUUGACUGCUGACGUGCAGCUGCCAGGUGGCCUCCUAGCUCCUAGCGUCCCGCGACGCUCGCCGGAUGGCACUCCAUCGUGAAGCUAGGGUUGCAGCACUUCCAAAGGAGUGCCCGAGCUGGUGAACGAGUUCGUGGUGUGCGCACGCUGGGGAGUGGAUUCAAUCCACGAUUGCGGUCUCUUGAGCAUCAGCCAUCUGCUUGUGGCCAGAUUUUGUUCCACUGACAUGCUGGGGCUGUUUGGUACAGGAUAUGCAUCUUAUGCAGCUCUGCUUGCUCCUGUUUAAAGUAGCAUCUAUUUUAUUUCUUAGAUGCUUGAUUGAUGUUUUGCCCUACAUUUAUGUGUGCAGUUACUCUAGGAACUUAGCAAAUAUUGGGCUGAAGGUCAUUUUACCUCGAGAGAUUGGACAGCUUGCUUAUAUGCAUUCUCUGUUAGCAAAAAGUCUGAAAGUUUGUAGCAUGUAUGUUGAGGAAGCACAUGACCUGAGACUUUUGAGCUAUCGAUUUAGGCACAUCCGUUUGAAUGUAGCAUGAUUUUUCUUGGAAUCUACUUGGAUACAUGGCAUGUGUUUCUUCUUGAUUCUUAGGGACUUAUAAAAUAUUUUAGUGAUAAAGGGUGUGAAAUGGUCUGUCAGGUUUCAAGCUGUUAUUUUCUCUGUUCUUAUUCUGACAAACCAAGAAGAACGCCUCAAUUCAAAAUAAAGAAGCAAAAUGAGUUUGGGGCCAUAGGAGUAUGCAUGGAUCUAAUUCAUGUAUAUGACAGUUACUAGAGUCAGAAAUAUUUACCCAUUUGCAGUACGCAGAUGAUACUGUGAUGUUCCUGGAGCUUUAUGAACAAUCUAUGAUCACAAUGAAAUUUUUGUUGUAUUGUUAUGAAGCGAUGUCUGGCUUGAGGACUAACUAUCAGAAAUGUGAGAUUUUUGUCCUUGGUGUGGACAAGGAAGAGCAGGAAAGAGUAGCGGAUCUCUUCCAUUGUCAAAUGGGUUCUUUCCCGAUGAAAUAUCUUUGUGUUCCUGUGUCUGAUAAGAAGCUUUUAGCGCCUGACUUCGAGUUCUGGCAUAUUAAGAUUCAAAAGUGGUUGGGGACCUGGCAGCCGGUCUCUACCGGUAGGCGGAAGAUCUUGAUCGAUGCGUGUUUAGAUAAUGUUCCAAAUCAUAUUUUGGGGGUUUACCUACUGGCUGAUGUUGUUCAUCACAAAGCUGAUAUGAUCAGAGCUACUUUUUAUUGGGAGGGUAAUGGUAGUGAACAUAAGUACCAUAUGGUCAAGUGGGCCAAUCUCUGCUGUCUGAAACAAUAUGGUGGUAUGGGUUUUGUUGAUAGCAGAGUGCGUAAUAUCUCUCUCUUGGCAAAGUGGAUUAUGAAGUUAGAGAAAGGAUAUCAACGUUUGUGCUGUCAAAUUUUGAGGAAGAAAUAUCUUGGUAAUGGAAGCCUUUUCCAAUCGGAGGCAGCGGGGACGUCUCAGUUCUGGAAAGGUUUGCAUUCCAUCAAACAUUGGGUGCGUAGAGGCAUCACAUAUCAGCUUGGCGCUAGUAGGAAGAUUUGUUUUUGGAAAGAUGUGUGGUUAGGACAGGUGCCGUUGAGUGUGUGUUUUCCCAUUCUCUUUCAACAUUUUGAUGAUCCGGAGGCGCUGGUGGCUGAUGUGGUGAGGCAUGGAGGCCUUGCACUUACCUUCCGUCGGUCUUUUGGACCAAGGGAGCUUAGGGAAUGAGAUGAAUUACGUCUGUUGUUGCAGGGGAUCAGUCUUUCGAGUGCCCAAGACGUGGGUCUUUGGGCACUUACCAAAUCUGGUACCUUUUCCUCUAAAUCCUUGUAUGACGAGUUAACGAAUUCUGGUGUGAAAGAUGUGCAUAUGAUGGAUAUGUGGAAGAGUAACAUGCCUAUGAAGAUCAAAAUCUUUGUGUGGAUGUGUUUUAGAGGUAGGAUUCAGGUGGCGGCGGAUUUGAAGGCAAAGAAUUGGCCGGGUGAUCCUUGUUGUAAGCUGUGUGGAGAGUUAGAAACUGCAGGUCAUCUUAUUUUUAAUUGUCCUUUAUCUCAUUUCAAUUGGUGGUGGAUCAAAGAGGCUAUGGGCUGGGAGAGGCCGCCUGUUUGCUUUGAUGAUUUCAUCACUUUAGGUCUUAAUAAACCUGGUGCUCAUUCUAAUCUUGUGGGUUGGGCUAUUUUUGGAGCUAUUGCCUGGUCUAGUUGGUUGGCUCGAAAUGAUUUGGUAUUCAACAACAAAACCUGCGGGUCUCCUUUUGCUAAUAUUUUCAAGAUGAUCUCCUUCCUUUCACAGUGGACGGUGCUGAUACCAGCAAGGCGUAGGACAGAGUGGAUGAAGAUGAUGGACCGUGUGAAGCUGGCUGCGAAGACCUCCUAUUUCCUUGUCAGACCGUGUGGUGGGAUCAGUUGACUCUGUUCUUCUUCUGGUGGUGUUUAGGCUAGUUGGUUUCUGCUGAUGUGCGGGCUCUAAACUUGUAGCUUUUUGUUAGCCUGUUGUUUUUUGUGGCUGGUUGCUUGGUGGUGUGUGUGUCUGUAAUAACUGGUGAUCCCAGUAUAUUGUGCUUUCUUUAUAAAGCAGGGCAAGUAUUUGCCUUUUCUCUAAAAAAGAGUCAGAAAUACAGCUUUUUCUAAUUCAAUUAUGUGUGCCCAAUCAGGCAUUCACCAAAAACGCGUCUUAUAUCUACAUGCAUUAUUUGUGUGUAUGUUAUGUACUUGGGUUACUUGUGAAAUGGUGUUUAGGCUUCAAUCUAUUCAGAUAUAUUUUUCUUCCGUCCAUAUGGCUUACUGCACAAUAACUUUUUCUAUGGUAUUAUCCCUACAGAUAAUAGGUGAUUUACGGGAGCUGAAGGUGUUGGAUCUGAGGUUCCGUCAGAGAUAAAUAAACAUUUUAUUCCUGGAGUUCAUCUUUCUUAAAGGAAACAGAUUUUAUGGUAGAUUACCUCUCGACACGGGCGGAGCCAGAUGGGUACUUGGGUGUACAGAUGUAUACCCAAUAUUUUGAGGAGAAAUGCAUUUCCAAUGUAUUAUACAUACUAAUUGACAACAUGCUAAAUAUAGUACUGAAAGUUUGCCUAUUUUUUCAAGCUUUGUACACCCAUUAGUUGAAACCUGGCUCCGCCGAUGCCUCUCGAGUUAAAUGAGCUGAUCAGUCUGUGUGAGUUUCAGGCUUACCAAGACAGGACUUCGUCAAGUAGGAUCUCCACUGCAAGGUUUGUCUAAACGCAUAUGUGAGUGUUAAACUUGUAAUUCAUGCAAGGAUUGAGAUGAAGUUCAAAUAAAGCAGA